rnacentral:rRNA from 1 species
UUCGUAGGCGGCCGGAUCAGUCAGUGGUGAAAUCCAACGGCUCAACCGUCGAACUGCCUUUGAUACUGUCCGGCUUGAGUACGGGAGAGGAAAGUGGAAUUCUUGGUGUAGCGGUGAAAUGCGUGGAUAUCAAGAGGAACACCCGUGGCGAAAGCGACUUUCUGGCCCGAUACUGACGCUGAGGAACGAAAGCCAGGGGAGCGAACG